AACUUGUUUGGCUGCUCCAAACGAAAGACAUUUAUGUCUCCAAAUGUCUCCAGUUCCUUGCUACUACAGUGUUGCUAUAUUUCAAUCUAUAUAGAACUGAUUUGCCCCGCCUGUUUACCAAAACCAUCACCUCUAGCAUUUACCAGUAUUAGAGGCAUUGCCUGCCCUGUGAGCUGUGACUUUAACGGCAGCGGUAUGCUGACCGUGCAAAGGUAACAUAAUCACUUGUCUCUUAAUUGGGGACUAGUAUGAAUGGUAUAACGAGGGUUCAACUGUCUCUUAUUCCCAAUCAAUGAAAUUGACCUUCCCGUGCAGAGGCGGGAAUACUUAUACAAGACGAGAAGACCCUGUGGAGCUUAAGUCGCAUAACUCUACACAUACUAACACAUAACCUACCGGAACAACCCGUAUAAGCCCCUGAGUUAUAGUCUUUGGUUGGGGUGACCUCGGAGCAUAAAAUAACCUCCGAAUGAAUAUAACCUAGAUUAACCAAUCUAAGUGUAACAAUACCAGUAAUUGACUCAUCUCUUGAUCAACAGAACAAGUUACCCCAGGGAUAACAGCGCAAUCCUAUUUGAGAGCCCAUAUCGAAAAUUAGGGUUUACAACCUCAAUGUUGGAUCAGAACACCCAAGUGGUGCAACCUCUAUUAAAGGUUUGUUUGUUCAACGAUUACAGUCCUAUGUGAUCUGAGUUCAUACUGGAGAAAUCCAGGUCGGUUUCUAUCUGUAAAUUCAUUUC
rnacentral:ncRNA from 1 species